rnacentral:rRNA from 1 species
UACGUAGGGGCCUAGCGUUGUCCGGAUUUAUUGGGCGUAAAGAGCUCGUAGGCGGCUUGGUUAGUCAGGUGUGAAAUCUCCACGCUCAACGUGGAGGGGCCACCUGAUACUGCCAUGGCUUGAGUCCGGUAGGGGAGUGUGGAAUUCCCGGUGUAGCGGUGAAAUGCGCAGAUAUCGGGAGGAACACCCGUAGCGAAGGCGGUUCUCUGGGCCUUACCUGACGCUGAGGAGCGAAAGCGUGGGGAGCGAACAGG